rnacentral:rRNA from 1 species
GAUGAACGCUGGCGGCGUGCCUAAUACAUGCAAGUCGAGCGAAUGAUGAGGAGCUUGCUCCUCUGAUUUAGCGGCGGACGGGUGAGUAACACGUGGGUAAUCUGCCUGUAAGACGGGGAUAACUCCGGGAAACCGGGGCUAAUACCGGAUAAUAAGAGAAGAGGCAUUUCUUCUUUUUGAAAGUCGGUUUCGGCUGACACUUACAGAUGAGCCCGCGGCGCAUUAGCUAGUUGGUGAGGUAACGGCUCACCAAGGCGACGAUGCGUAGCCGACCUGAGAGGGUGAUCGGCCACACUGGGACUGAGACACGGCCCAGACUCCUACGGGAGGCAGCAGUAGGGAAUCGUCGGCAAUGGGCGAAAGCCUGACCGAGCAACGCCGCGUGAGCGAUGAAGGCCUUCGGGUCGUAAAGCUCUGUUGUUAGAGAAGAACAAGUACGAGAGUAACUGCUCGUACCUUGACGGUACCUAACCAGAAAGCCACGGCUAACUACGUGCCAGCCGCCUCCGUAA